UCUGAUUUUAAUUCGAUAGGUGUAAAAGUAAGAUGACCACGAUAAUUAUAGUGUGUAGAGUUCAUUUUUUUUUUGCUUCAUCUAACAAGUUUCUAUUUUAUCGGUAGCAAACUGCUCCGGGUUGAAACUGUAUAAAUAAAACAUAUUCUAACUUCUACUUAGUUUACAUUCCCUACUAUAUUCAUCUCCUCAAAUUCUUCCUCGGAUGAAACAAACUCCUCCCUACGGACAUAACCAGCAUCUUUCAUUAGCUCAUUCAAUCCAUCCAUCAAAAGGUAAAUCUUAUAUGAAUGAGGGUUAGAGGUGUCCCCCACCAAAAAGGGAGAGAACUCAGUGCCAAUAUCAACCCAAGCACAACCAGGAGCUUUUUUCACGCCCAAAUUCCUCAUAUAAGUCCUCACCUCUGCUAGUUUGCUCCAACAACCAGCAGCAGCAUACAUGUUGGCAAUCAACACAUAAUAACCUGAAUGGUCAGGUUUCAGCUCUAGCAAUUUUCCUGCAGCCCAUUCCCCCAUCACUUUGUCUCCAUGGAUUCGACAAGCCCCUAUGAGAGUAGCCCACAUUGACGAUGUUGGCUUGUAUGGCAUCCUUGUGAUAACCUCCUUCGCUUUAUCCAGAAGACCAGCCCUCCCAAAGAGAUCAGCCUUGCACGCAUAGUGCUCGAGGAGUGGAACUAUCCCAUAAACAUUUUUCAUCCUUUCAAACAACAAUUCCCCCUGUGCUACUAGACCAGAAUGACUACAAGCUGUGAGAAUUGCAACCAUAGUCACUACAUCUGGCUUAAUGUCCAACUCACACAUCUCUUCAAAUAGUUUUAGAGCUAUUCCUCCAUCACCCUUCAUACCAUAUCCAAAAAUCAUGGAAGUGUAUGUAACUUCAUCUCUUGUGCUCAUUGAAUCGAACACUUUUCUGGCUUCUAAAACUUUGCCAGACCUUGCAUACAUGUCCACCAGGGCAUUCCACAAUAAUAAAUAGUCCUUAAACUGUUCACGCUUCAUAAUGUAGCAGUGAAACUCUCUACCAUGCUGCAGGUUCGCUAUGCGAGCACACAGGGGAAGAACGCUUGCAAUGGUCACAUAAUUAGGUUCAACACCCUUCCGUAACAUCUCUCUGAAAAGAAAGGAUACUUCCUCAGUACGAUCCACGUGUGCAUAUCCAGAAAGAAUGGCAUUCCAAGAUAUCAAACCUUUCUCUUCCAUUCUAUGAAACACCAUAAAUGCAUGCCCAAGAUCUCUACACCUAGAAUACAAUGUAAUCAAUGCAUUUUUCACAUUCUCAAACACGUCAAAGCAAAUUCGCACCGCAUGACCGUGCAUCUCCUUUCCCAAUUUAAGGGCUCCAAUGUGGGAACACGCAUUUAACCCAAUGACCAAUGCAACAGCAUCCAGAUGAACGAAUAUUCUCAUAUGGGAAAUCAGCUUAAGUGCCGCUGCGAAAUCGCCCAAAUGCAAGUACCCUCCGGCAAUGGUGUUCCAUAUAAUCACAUUCCCUUCAACACCCUCCUCCUGCAUACUUCCAAACAACUGAAACGCUUCCUCCCACAUACCCCUAGAAGCAUAACAGCUGAUGAUAGUGUUCCACGAAACAGCAUCUCUAACUGGCAUAUUGUCAAACAAGUCACGCGCAACUUCCAGAUUCCCAAACCUACCAUACAUGGAGACCAAAGCAUUGUGCACAAACAAACACCACUUCAUGGAGCUAGCCUCAAUAGACCUGUGAACCUCCACCCCAGUAUUGAUAUCCAACGAUUCCCCACAAGCCUUGAGAACAGAAGGAUAAGUGUAUUCAUCCGGUUCAAUCUGCUUACUCAACAUUUUCUUAUACACAGAAAGAGCCUCUCCACAGAGCCCAUUUUUAACGUACGACGAGAUAAGCAUAUUCCAAUGCAAAGGAUCCAAAGUACAAGAGCUCUCAAUGACAAAUUGGGCAUCGCCAAUGAGAUUAACAUUUGUGUAAAAACCAAUAAGCCUUGCAACCAAGACAGGAUUUUGAUGAAGACCCAGUGAGAUGAUAUGGCCAUGAAGUUGCUUACCCUGUGACAAUGACUUAAACUUCGCGCAAGCAAAGAGAAGAGAGCUAAUGGGGUGCAGGAGAAGGUGUGAAAAAGCAUGGUGCUGGAUUUGAAUGAAGGUUUUGAAAGCAUUUGGCAGGUGGCCAUUGGUCACAAAGUCCUUGAGGGAUGCAAUGAGAACACCAACCAUGGAUGCAUUGCUACACAAGAUGGGAUUGAACAGUGAUUUUUGCGGGGUUUGUUUCCAUGAUUUUGGGAUGAACUUUUGAAUUCGAGACAAAAAGAAGUGUGUGGGAAUAGAAAGGAAUGGGGAAUAUGUCAUGAUAUUGUUGACAUCUUCACCUAGAAAAAUACUGCAAGAAAGAAAGGCUGAGAUUGAAGAAAGAAAUAGAUAGAAUCAAAACCACACAUCUAUUUUUGUACGAGUUAUUUUCAAUAUACAAAGGAUGAUUUUCAUUUUUUUUUCUUAAGUUUAUCUUUUAAAAGUGUUUGGUAAUAUUCCAAACAUAAUAGUGUAAAAAAUUACACCAACAAUCAGUAAAACAAUAUAAUUUUUAAAAUGAUGAUUGUAAAUAGAGUUUCUCUAAAUAUCAGUAUUCUUGUGCAUAAAUAAAUAAAAUGGCAGCCUAACUUGGAAAAACUAAAUGAUAUGAAUGAUUAAAGGCACGUCACUGCAAAUUUCUGAAAUUAAAGGAAGAUAUACAUGUUAAAACGUAACUAACCUCUACAUCAGGUAAUAGGUCAAAUUUGAGAUAGACACCAGCAAAAGAAAAGUAAAUAAACCUGAAUAUGGUAAAAUUAUAAGCAAAAUUGAUAUUAGAGACAUAGUACAAAUUAUUACCAGAGACAUUUUCUUAGUAUAGUAUGAAAUUCAAAUUUUUAUAAUUUAAUUAUUUGUGAAGCUAUGACUUUUAGCAUUUUACCAUACAAAAGUAUAUAAUUUUUAAUUUAAGUUUUCCUCACACAUAUGAUAGGUCUGGUAUACGAAAAUUAAGACAUUUAGUCAAUUUUCAAAUUUUUAUUGCAACUUAAUUACCUAAGUGACAUGUUCAGAAACAUUAAUUCAUUCUUUCUUAGCUUUUAACUAAAAUGGCUGCUAGUUAAUAAACAUUAAUUACCUAACUGCAAUUUCAGAAACAUUAAUUCAAAGCCUUUUUGUUUUUUAUAUCAGAACAAUGCACCAUAUCAACUAUAUAUACAUAAUGACUAUCCCAGAGAAAACAUUAGUAAAUAUGAAUAUAUAACUCUUGAUGACAAAUUGAUAUCUCACAAACUAGAUUUUCAAACGAGCUUCAAUGAAACAAAGUGCAAUCUUUGCAAAGGAUUUUAUGAAAAUUAGUGGUUUUCUAUCUAAAUAUCAGCAACCAAUUGUUUAUCAACCAGUAAACACAAUGCCAACAGGCUUGAAGUGCCUCAAACUUAAUUUCAAGCAUACAGGUAAACAUUUGAAUCAGAGUAUAACAAAUCUAUAAUUGCUUUCUCAUGGUCAGAAUCACACAUCCAACACCUAAACAUCACAACAACUUCCAUAUAUAAAGUAAAAACUAUAUCUAUACAUAAAACCAAUAAUUGAAUCACCAUAAACUAACCCAUGACAGAACCAGAUUUGCUACCACAUCAAUUCUCAUAUAUUAAGUCCAUUACCACCUGACUUAUUUGUUUUUGCAAAGUUUAGGCAAAUUGAAACACAACAAAUACACACCCAUCAUCACACAUAUGUUCAGUGGUUUAAUUUAGUUAUUCAGGCUCAAUUAAGAAGUGGUUAUCCUAACCCAUUCUUUUUUCGAUAACAUGUAUUACAAAAGGUUAGAAUUAAAGUAAUAUCACCUAACACUAGACGUAAUAGCAAAAGGAACAAAUACUAUAUAAAAAUGGAGAACAAACCUGGGCAACCCAAUCAAAACUUUCUAUAAAUUCAGAGACCAAAAUAAAGAUCUCUUCUUAUGCGAAUAUCUUUUCAUAUGAUCAGUUCUCACCUGCAAUUUAUUUUGAAAACUUUAGGCCUUUAGUUAAAAAGUAGGAUGAAUAAAUAAUAGAAGAACUAUACUUAGUUAAUAAAUCUAAAUUUCUUAUGUAAGCCGUUUUCAGAUGCAUUUGACAAUGCUUUAAUAACAAUAGACUCUGGUAAAAGUAAUGAGAAUAUGGUCUUCAAAAGUAAUAAAUUAAAUUUAAAAUAAUCUUCAAAAGCUUUAUUCUUGAAAUUUUUCAUAACUUACAAGAGAAUAUGGUCUUACAAAUCCUCUGACAGCACCAAUUGCUUCACAACCCUUCUUAACUAUUUCUAGUUUUUCCUGCAUCAAAACCAACUGGUUAUGUAACAUGAAUCAAAUUAGAUACAUUAUAGUUAUAUAUACUAUGUGUCAAAUGAUAUGAAAGAUGUUCAACCAACAAGCAUCUCUGAUUUUACAUGAUUUCAAAUAAUAUUAAGUAUCACAACAUGUCAAGAUUACAGUAGUAAUGACAAUUUAGAACCUCAUUUAGUAUAAAAACAGAUCAAGUUUUAAAUAGCUCAUUUGAAAGAAAAAAAGAAAUAUAAUUAAUAGUUUUAAGAAAUUAAUUGAAAUAUUCUACACUUAACUCAUUAAAGUAAUAGAAAUUUAUUAUGUGUCACUUUUUAUAUGAGUCUAUUCAUCACUUUAUAAUUUUGCAAAACUUCUCUCUUCACUAAUAGUCCAUACGCUUUAUCCCAAAAAAUAGGUCCUUACCACUUUACAAUAAUGUAACAAAUGAAUGAUGUCUAUAUAAAGAUAUAUAAAGAUGCCUAAAGAGAUGCUUAAGCAAAAUAGUAACCAGCCCAUAUGCCUCUCAGAGAGGUUUCAAAGUAGUUAUGUUAUACUUAUGUUCCUGCAACCUCUUGGUAGGUACUGGUGACGAUAAAAUCAGUGUUAUUCAUGGCUAUUAAAUCAAAAGUGAAUUGACAUUCGAAAGGCAAAGUAAGAUAAGAAAGAAGAGGGACAAUAACUUGUGUAACUCCCAUUUUAUAAGCCAAUAAAGAUGCAACAAGAUUCCCAUCACUCUAAUUUCCAAUGAUGAAGUCAGGAUAACCUUGUAACUCAACAGCACUGGCAACGUCCUGUUGACAUACUCAGCCAUCAAUACUAAAUGGAAAUGAUACAAAUCUAAACUAAGGUAAGAAAUUGCUUGCAUCCUAAUAAUGAUUCAUGGGCAAGUGAACAAUUCAAAUUACCUCUGAAUAAGUCCCUAGAUAAGGCCACACAUAAUAUAAUUGAAAAAAUAGCAUACAUCUACUUAAUCAUUUAUUAAAUUAUAUAAUUGAAAAAAAUUUUAAUCCUUUUCAGAUAAAGCCUAUAUUUCUGCAGCCAUAUAAAGAAACAGUGAGAUUCCCUUUAUGAAAUGGUUUAUGUUCCAUUAAAUUGAAGAAAAAAGUUCACAAAAAUGCCUAAAGGUGGUGGGCCACAUUCUCCCUUGUAAUCUUUUCAACAUUCAUUAAGUCAAGAACCUUUUUAGGCACAGGUUCUGCAGAAAAAUUUGUUAACAAUAAAACGGUUAAGGACCUCAACAUUUCAUUGCUAUCACCUACUCAAAUAAUCAUGAGAAGCUUGUUAAAAAAAAUUCAAGAAAAGAACAUGGAAGCAAAUUUAAGAAAGUGAGUCACAUUAUAACAAAAUAAAAUUCUAAACCAAAUAAAAACAACAUAUUACACCAGGUUAGGAAUCAUUGAGUCUAUAAUACAAGGCAGCCAUGGAUAUGUACUUCAUUGGAAGUAAUUAUUUUCAUUGAUCCAUCCCUUCAAUUAAAACUUUUGUCACAACAAAAAAUGUUCAAAAAUAUAAGCAUUGGAUUCCAAUAAGCAUUUAAUCACAGUGCUGUUUACAGGUGUUACUAAUUAUUAUUUUUUGUUAAUUUUAGGAAACUUAACUAGAAAACAAUUUCAAACUAAGACAUUCAACCUGUCUAAGAGAUGCUUUCAGUUUCAAUAUAGUUCAGCUUCUGAAAUCAUAGUACAACAAUGCAAAACAUAAUUUGCAUAAGGGUUAAUUGGCUAAAACAAUGUAUAAAGAACAAACCUGCUUGCUCUAUAUCAACAAGUAGAAUGUCAGUUGUAGCAUGUGGGGACUCCAAAAAAUCCAACAACUUUGCAGACAGCUCCUCCUAAAAGUAAUGUCAUUUAAUAAUUUAAUUUUAAAAAGUACCAAGAUUCUCUUCUAAAAUGGAAAUGCACUAUAACAAUACCAAGAUUCUCUUCUAAAAUGGAAAUACACUAUAACAAUACCAAGUUCUCUUCUAAAAUGGAAAUACACUAUAACAAUACUUAACUUUACAAAGUACCAACAUUCUCUUCUAACAUGCAGAUUUCUAAUAAUUCUAAAGUAAACACAAUGCUAUCAGAUCAAUUCAAUCAUACAUUCAGAUUUGAAUAUAAGGAUCAAUCAGUAUUAACCACAACAAUUUUCAAACAUUUAAAGUGCCAAUCACUAGAUAUAUAAUCAAUCAACAUCAUAGUCAAAAUACCAAUUAUAAAGUAUUGUUUAGAAUAAGGUAUUGUUAAUGGAAGCACGAUCCUAAUUAACUAGAGCACAGAAUAAUAAAGUUCGGGAGUAUUUAGCCUUAUGGUUUGAAUAUUAAAGAUUUCCAAAAUAAAAGCAAAUGUACACAUUGAAAGUCUAUUCUAAUCUGAAACCUUUAUACAUUCUUCUUCUUCCAUAUCCUGUUCACUUUCACUUCCAAAGAUUUCUUCGUCAUAAAAUUCAUUAUCCAAGUUUUGAUUAUCUAAUUUUUGUUGAAUUUCCGCAAUGGAUUUUUCAAUUUUAUCAAACCUAGCAGUGUGAAGUUUCAUUUGAUUAACCAUGUAUCUUUCAAAAUCAGUUUUGGGUUUGAAAGCAUUUGAAGCAGGUUCAGCAUUUGAAACUCAUAACCAGAACACUCAUCUGCAUCAACAUCCCAUCCCAUCCCAUCCCCUCCCCUCCCUCAACACCCAUUUUUAAUAACAAUCAAGGUUUAAGACAAACCCUAAUCUAAGCAAUUGAAACUUACCGGAUGUAGAAGACAAUGGCAGCUUCAGCUUAUAUCUUCCAGUUCGAAGAAACAAACCUAGGGUUUCCUAAAUCGCUAUUUCAAACAUCCAAACAACAACGACCAAAAAUAUGUCAAUGUAAUGCACAACCAGAGCAAAACGAAGAAAAAAAAAAAACCUCAAAGCUUCGACUACUCACCGCCUUCGAUCCUCCAAUGCAACACUACGGUUCCAAUGACAGAGGAUGGUGGCUCGAAACUAGGAAAAACAGGGUUCCAGUGAAGGAGAACGAGUGUGAGGUCACACACCGGACAGUGUGACGGAAGAAGAGACUACGAUAAUAGGGAGAAUGAUGGGUUGACAACACAACAAUGUGUGCGACAACAGGGUUUCAGAGAGGGAAAAUCAUGGUUGCAGUGAAUGAGGGAGAAUCAUAGUUGCAGUGACUGAGGGAGGGAGAAUCAUGGAAUGAUGAGAAAAGUGAGAAGAGUUUAAUCAGAUUCUAUAUUAUUUAGUUGUAUUUUUAAUUAUUAAUUAUCUCCAUAUCUGUAUUAAAUAUCAGUAGGUACAUAUUCUGUUCAUUUACAUACGACCUUAUCCAUUUCCGGCAAAGUUUCCGCCAAAACAGGUGCGAAUAUUACCACUGAUAUUAUAUACUAUAUACUGAUUAUCUUUAUGUAAUUUUUUUUCAUUAUAUAUGGAUUUAUAUAAUAAUUCAUAUAUAAUUGUCAUUUUUUUAGUGACGGUUAAUACUAGAGAGAUAGAAAGAAAAACUUAAAAAGUGUUGAUAACAUAUAUAAGAUAUAUAAGAGUAACAAUUACACACUAAACACACCACAUUUGUCUAUAGUUGUGCAAACCUCCUCAAAAUUGAAUCCCAUAUCGAUAAGUAUGGAGAUAUCUCAUCGCUCUCUUCUAUUGAGCGUUUUUCCUACGAGAAUGGAAACAGAUAAAUGGAAUCUAUAAACACAAUGUGAGUAAAAUGCUUCCUAGAAUUCAGAUAACUAACACGUAUGCAUGAAUAAUAUAAUCUGAACACAUGAUUUUAGUUAUGACAUGCAUGAAAAUAGGAGAAUUUGGUUUAGAAUAUGAAUACCUGAGUUGCCUUUUGUGCAGGUCCAAAGUAUAUUGUUUGACCUCAGAGAAAAGAAAGAGAUGAUCAAAGAGUGCAAAAGCCUCACUAUACUUGGUUGGUGUAUAGAAGAGAUAACAGUCUUUGCAUCAUGAGCCAAAUUUAUGAGAGUUUGAGCAACAAAAUAUACUGAGGCAUUGUCAAGACCGUUGGUGGGUUCAUCAAGGAACAAGAGAGUUGGCCUUGUGAGGAUUUCAAGAGUAAUGCUUAGUCUUCUCUUUUCUCCACCGCUUAUACCUCUCAAGUGCCAAUUCCCUAUUAUCCGAUCUGCACAUUCUUAAAGACCCACUUCCAUAAUUGUUCCUUUUAUUAUCUCAUUCACCUCUUCUCUCCUCAUGCUCCCUGGAAACCUUAGAUUCAAUGAGUAAUAUUUUGUUUCUCUCUCACUGUCAGAGUUCCCAGCACUAUUGUUUCUUCUUGGGUCACAUAAGCUUGUCUCGUGUGUAAACAUAUCUCAUUAAUUAGCAGUGAAAUAUAAAAAAAUGGAUUUUUCUUGUGCCAUAUACACGCAUACUUACAGCAUUACCAUAGUCCAAUCUCCUCUUUCCAUUUAGAAACACAUUUCCAGACAUGAUAACUUUCUGGACAGUCUUCCUGCAACCAUUCCCAGUCAUUUGAUGUUAAUAUAUAUAGCUUUUGUCAUCAUAAUUAAGAAACUGAAUAUAACCACAAGUAUGUAUUUUUAUCAGGUAUGCUAAAGGAGUGAAAGGGUAUUAAUUGUGGAGGUUGGAACAUGGAGAAGCUAGUUGCUUCACAAGCAGAAACGUCAUAUGAUAUAUAGGAAUCUAAAGAAAGGCUUGAAUAUCCUGAUUUAGACUUCAACUAUCAGUUUCCGCUUGAUAGGGAGAGGAUACAACCAAAUCAACACAAUAAUAUGUAUAUGCUAAAGUUCAAGCAAAACAUAAUGCAAUUCUAUCUAAGAUUAAGCAGUCUUGGAAAGUUUUCGACUGAUUCUUUUUGCAUAUAUUUAAUGUUCCUCACAUUCUUAAAUUUUAUAUUUUCAACUGCAAGAUAUUGGAUAUGCGGCAUAGGCUGUCGAUUUGAUUGAACUGAGUCUGAAAUAAAUAAGAAACUGCUGUUUAGAUGUUUUUCGCUAUCUUAAUAUAUACUAUUUAGAGAUAAUGAGUCUUGUCAAAUAAGAUAGUAGAAUUUCUAACUUAAAUUGAAGUUGUACUCAUAAAAUUUUCUUAUAACCAGUUAUCAUUUGUGAGUACAUUAAAAUUUGAAUCUAAGUAAGGAAGGUGUUGCGUCGUCUUAUUCCCAAUGUAGGAAUGACCGACCAAGACUAAACAUCUAUGUUCAAUCAAUAACCGUCCAUAUUUUAGUGACUUGAAGAUUAAGCCUCAAGGAAUAUAUAAUGUUGUCGAAAAUCGAACCAAGAUGAAUGUACAUGUGUUUUUUCUUGAACAAUUAAUUACAAUUUGAUUUUCAAUGAUUAUAAUGACUGAUAAAAAUGAGUUAUCCAAAAUCGAUUUUGUUGCCUGAGAGGAACACUUAUUUGUUGGUGGAAUCGUAAUCAAUUCCAGAAGAAUUGAAUAUAAUUCAAAUAUACAUUUUAUUAACCCCAUUCACAAAUUAAAAUAUAAAAUCAUCCUAAAAGUAAUAGUACAAUCAUGGAUGAAUUACUUUAUUAUUUGUAAGUAUUUCAUAAAAGUGGUGUGUCAUGCCAGGUGGCACGAUUCAGUCACACAGAGGUAGUUAAUCUUAUUAAUUAUUCCAAGAAAAAAAAAACACCUUUAAUUUCAAAAGUGGUGUUGGUUAGAACUUAGAAAAUAGAAAAUUUUGGUUUGUGAAGGUCAAAUGUGAAUGGUAAAUUCCUAGCACGAAAGUCAUGCCGACUGGGUCGUAAUAGAUUUGCCCUGCUUUCCAAGAUCAUUGCCAUAUUAUUAUAUUAAUUCAUUCUUCUCUUCUUUAUCUCCAUUCUUUUACGGUUAUCAAACUCUCGAUUUAAUUCUUAAACUUUUACGAGUUUACAUAUUUAGACAUAGCUUCAGAGUUAAUUUAGAAGUAAACUCUUUUCUACAUAAACUCGAUAGAAUUAACUGUGAAAUUGGUAUGAUCGUGUAGAAUCGCAAGUUUGGAAUGAUUCUACGAGCUUGAAAGGGAGAAAAAUUAAAAAAAACAAGGUCGUUUGAUUUUUUUAUUAUAUAUUUAAUGAAAUGCACCAAAAUUAAUGACAAUAAUAUAAGUAUUUAUGUUUUACAAUAUUUAUUUUUAUGAACAAUAUAUCUAUAAAUUUUAUUCAUUUAAAGUUAUAUAAUUUUGUAUAAUUAUUUGAAUUAAGAUAUUAUUUAUAUAAUGUUUUUCAUUUGAAGUAAACUCUUACGAGUUUAUGAGUUGAGUUUAUUUGACUCUCACGAGUUUACGUAGACUCGCAAAUUUGAUAACCUUACAUAUAAUUAAUAACAUGUAUGUACAUAAUGUAUAGAUAUACAAGAGAAAUUUAUUAAAUGAAUAAUUAAUAAUAUAAGCAAAAUACAAUACGGGAGAAACAAAAAAGGGUGGUGAUGAAAUUAGCAAUUGACAACAUUAAAUAAUCUUGUUGUUUCAUUGAAUCAGUCUCACUAAAACCACAUGAUUCUUUAAUCAUUCAUUAAUAAAUAGAAUGCCCUAAAUCAAGGGUAGUACAUUAAUUGAAUAUUAAUGAGUUAUAAUCACAUAUAUUCAGGAGAGUCCCAUAAGUAUUCAUGAUGCAUUUCUUCCCAUCCACUCAACUCCAUGGCAUAAUCAUCAUCACCAUCACAAGACACCAUCAUCAUAAAGUACUCAUCACCAAACCCAAACCUAAGUGUCUCUGCCAUUUGCGUCAUCGACAUCUUUGGUCACUCCAAUGGAGACUCAUUUAUAGCUUGAAUCGGUGUUGCCGAAAGCUCCACUUGCAGAGGAACCACACCACUAUUAUCAUUCUUCUUCUUCUUACUAUUAUUGGUUCUGUUGUUACUGUUGUUUCUGUCACUACUUUCACUGACACAUAACCAGUAUCUUUCAUUAGCUCAUUCAAUCCAUCCAUCAAAGGGUCAAUCUCAUAUGAAUGAGGGUUAGAAGUUCCCCCCAUCAAAAAGAGAGAGAACUCAGUGCCAAUAUCAACCCAAGCACAACCAGGAGCUUUUCUCACGCCCAAAUUCCUCAUAUAAGUCCUCACCUCUGCUAGUUUGCUCCAACAACCAGCAGCAACAGACAUGUAGGCAAUCAACACAUAAUAACCUGAAUGAUCAAGUUUAAGCUCUAGCAAUUUUCCUGCUGGCCAUUCCCCCAUCACUGUGUCUUCAUGGAUUCGACAAGCCCCUAUGAGAGUAGCCCACAUUGACGAUGUUGGUUUGAAUGACAUCCCUGUGAUAACCUCCUUCACUUUGUUCAGAAGACCAGCCCUCCCAAAGAGAUCAGCCAUGCACGCAAAAUGCUCGAGGCGUGGAACUAUCCCAUAAACAUCUAUCAUCCUUUUAAACAACAAUUCCCCCUGUGUUACUAGACCAGAAUGACUACAAGUUGUGAGAACUGCAACCAUAGUCACUACAUCUGGCUUAAUGUCCAACUCACACAUCUCUUCAAAUAGUUUUCGAGCUGUUCCUCCAUCACCCUUUAUACCAUAUCCAAAAAUCAUGGAAGUGUAUAUAACUUCAUCUCUUGUGCUCAUUGAAUCGAACACUUUUCUGGCUUCUAAAACUUUGCCAAACCUUGCAUACAUGUCCACCAGGGCAUUCUACAGUAAUAAAUAGUCCUUAAACUGUUCAUGCUUCAUAAUGUAGCAGUGAAACCCUCUGCCAUGCUGCAGGUUCGUUAUGCGAGCACACAGGGGAAGAACGCUAGCAAUGGUCACAUAAUUAGGUUCAACACCCUUCCGUAACAUCUCUCUGAAAAGAAAGGAUACUUCCUCAGUUCGAUCCACGUGUGCAUAUCCAGAAAGAAUGGCAUUCCAAGAUAUCAAACCUUUCUCUUCCAUUCUAUGAAACACCAUAAAUGCAUGCCCAAG
rnacentral:lncRNA from 1 species